CCAAAAUAUCAAAACGUUGUAUUGUAGUAUGUGUCCUCCCUUUCUGCCAAAGAAAACAAAGUGUAGUUUAAUCAUUCUUUUCUAGAAACAGUAGUAUACAUUUUGUAUGAAUCUACAGUCCCAAAUAUGAACCACACUUAAUUUUCUUGGUUUAACUAUCUACCCCAUCAAACGUUUCGCUCCGUUUGAAGCUCAUUAGACUGCACAAAAACCAUAUCCUGCCGUACUACCCCAGUACUUCUUUGCAAGCCAACUAAAGUUUACCUCUCUUUUAUUGCUAACAAAUAGGUCAAUAGUUGCAAAUUUUAUUGAAGAAAUUUCUAAAUAGACGGGCGCAGCAACGCGCGCCAUCAAUGAUCUAGUAAUUACUAUUAUGGUUCUGUUAUGCUACGCCCUUGGGCAUGGGGAACACGAGUAGCUAGUGAUUGAAUCAUCUCUGAAGUGUGAAUUGCAAUGACCCUUGUUUGCCUCUUGAUUAUUAAUCCAGUAUAAUAUGCUACUGUUAAACCCUUGGGCUUAGAAAACCCCAAAAGUUAGUGAUUGAAUGAUCUAUGAACUGCAAUUGCUAGUGCCAUGUUUCUUGACUGUUGAUGAUCAUAAUAUGGUUCUGUUAGGUUUAGAGAACUCGAGAAAGUAUUAGUUGAAUGAUCUGUAAAUUGCAAUUGUCCUUUUCUUUGGUUCACAUAAAGAUUCUAAAGGCUCAUUUACAACUGUAUUUAAUAGUUGGUGGGAUUAUGUAUUCUGAAAUAUUGUUGAAAAUCAUCAUUCAUCUACUACUAGCCACUUAUAAUGAGGAACAUGGUGUAAAAGGUUGUGGUGAACUGUCUAAGAUUUAGUUGUGACGAGAUGUUGCUUUCCUUGUAUUACUGAGUGCCACUUAUUGAUUAACGAUAAUAACUCUUAAUUUGGUUUUGAGCUGUUGUUUCCCCUAGGUUUGCUUCAAUAUUGUCUGGAAGUGUAGACCGCUCACUGAGGAUGAAUUGUUUCCUGCCAUUGAAGAGAACUACUAUAUCUCAAAGAAGUUCUACUUCGACCUUUCCUACCAGCAGUGUGUGCGCAUGCUCAACAGGUAGGCAAGCUGCUUCCUAUAGUGACUGAUUGUGGCUCUGCUAGGUUUCUCUACACUGAUAGUGUGCAGUGAGAAGUAUGAUGGGCCAAACAAAUAGUUCUUGUUCACAGUGGUUCAAAUUUAAAUGUUUUAAUUAUAGCUUUUUGUCCCUGUAGUCGAUGUUAAGAAGCGCUUCCUUCAUGAGCUUAGUUUGAUUUGGCCCGGUUUUGAUGCCUCUGCAGUGUGUGCGCAUGCUCAACAAGUACAGUCGCAACAACUCAAUUUCUUCAGAUGUGGCAUAGGAAGUCAUGUCCUCAUGUGCUACUAUUUCUAGAGGUAGACUCCUAAUCAAAUAAAAGUUUGUUGUCUGAUUCAUGAUACAAUAUUUGUGCUUGGUGGAAUAAAUCUCCAAGAUGACUUAAUUCAUUUUGUUAGUUGAAUGGUACGACCAUAUGAAUAGCAUAUGCUUGUACCACAUAUAAUCUAGGCUGCCCGGAAGUGCAGUAAAAAAUAGGGAUAUGAUGAGCUGGGGUUAGAAGUUCACAGUGUUGAAUAGAGAAUCAGGCUUUUUUCUUGAAUUAUUUGAAGUAGAUCAUAUGUAAAACUUCAAAUAAUUUUUGAACCCACCAGAUAUUGCAGUGUGAACUACUACUUCAACUUGAAAAGCGUCAAUGAUCUUUUCAUAGUUGUUAAUUGUUAGCUUAUCUACUAAUUGUGGCUUUAUUUCCUGUUUGGUAAAACCAGGAUAGCUUUAUUGUAAACUGCACCUAUGCAAUGGUGAUGGGUUUCAAGGUUUUUCUUGAGAAGCAAAGAUGACAAGCUUUCUUGUUUCCAUAAAAGCUUGCAACUUUGUUUAGAUGGUAGAGGGGCCAAGAAAAUAGAUGAGCAGCAUGGUGGUGAUGACAGGGGCCGCAUAGUGUUUGCUUGCCGAGAUAACUUAUUUUGUUUACUUAUUUAUCUUUUCUUGCUUGCAAUAUUAUGCUCAGUUCUCCACUAGCUGAGUUGAUGUUUGGUUUUCUCACAUAGAUGAACUUCUCCUAGGCUGGUUUGUAGGUCAAAGAAAUUUGAUGAUCGAUACACCUUUUGUUCCAGCAAUAUUAUAUUGUCCUAUCAUUUUUGUGAUGUUGGUUUUGUUGCAUAUUUAAACUUUAAUAUGUAUGUUUGUUGUAGCAUGCCGAAGCAGGCGAUGUGUCAUGUCCCGCGCGGCAGCCUCCCCGAUCCGCCUCGGCACCCACAUCAAGUCCUCUCGGUCUACCUCCUCCAUCAUGUAGCAUGGUUUUGAGCGGCCAGGUGUCCCAGAUUGACAGCGACGGCGGCAUGAGGGUGUGAUAAAAUAAUAAUUAGCAGUAACAUGCACUAAUAUGAGGUUUAGCACCAGGGGUAACUUUAUGCAAUCACACUUAGUAAGCAG
rnacentral:lncRNA from 1 species